rnacentral:rRNA from 1 species
UACAGAGGUCUCAACCGUUGUUCGGAUUCAUUGGGCGUAAAGGGUGCGUAGGCGGCGGGGUAAGUCAGGUGUGAAAUCUCGGGGCUCAACCCCGAAACUGCAUUCGAUACUGCUUUGCUAGAGUACUGGAGAGGAGAUCGGAAUUUACGGUGUAGCAGUGAAAUGCGCAGAUAUCAGGAGGAACACCAAUGGCGAAGGCAGCUCGCUGGAACGGUACUGACGCUGAGGCGCGAAAGCGUGGGGAGCGAACAGG